GCCCUGUUAGCUCAAUUGGUAGAGCGUGAGACUUUUAAUCUCAAGGCUGCGGGUUCGAGCCCCGCAUAGGGCU
rnacentral:tRNA from 1 species